GUCUAUGACCAUACCACCCUGAACGUGCCCAAUCUCAUCUGAUCUCAGAAGCUAAGCAGGGUCGGGCCUGGUUAGUACUUGGAUGGGAGAUCAUAUGGUAGUUCUAUUUUUAAUUUUUU
rnacentral:rRNA from 1 species